rnacentral:rRNA from 1 species
GACGAACGCUGGCGGCGUGCUUAACACAUGCAAGUCGAACGGAAAGGCCCUGCUCUUGUUGGUCUCUCGAUUGGCGAGCGGGGGAGUGACACGUGAGUAUCCUCCCCUUGUCUGUGUGAUAACUUCAGGAAGCUGGGGCUAAUAUCCGAUAUGAGCUCUUGCUGCAUGGUGGGGGAUGGAAAGUGUCGGCGGUUGUGGAUGGACUCGCGGCUUAUCAGCUUGUUUGUCGGGUAGUGGCUUACCAAGGCUUUGACGGGUAGCCGGCCUGAGAGGGUGACCGGCCACAAUGGGACUGAGGUACGGAGCAGUCUGGUAUGGGAGGCAGUAGUCGAGAGUAUGACACAACGAGCGCACGUCAGAUACAGAAACGCCGCGUGCGGGAUGACCGGUUUCGGGUUGUAAACCGAUUUCGCAUGAGACGAAGAGUGAGUGACGGUAAUGGGUAAAGAAGCACCGGCUAACUACGUG